GUCCCAGUAGCUCAGCCGGAUAGAGCAACGGCCUUCUAAGCCGUCGGUCGG
rnacentral:tRNA from 1 species